rnacentral:rRNA from 1 species
UACGUAGGGUGCAAGCGUUGUCCGGAAUUAUUGGGCGUAAAGAGCUCGUAGGCGGCUUGUCACGUCGACUGUGAAAACCCGAGGCUCAACCUCGGGCCUGCAGUCGAUACGGGCAGGCUAGAGUUCGGUAGGGGAGACUGGAAUUCCUGGUGUAGCGGUGAAAUGCGCAGAUAUCAGGAGGAACACCGGUGGCGAAGGCGGGUCUCUGGGCCGAUACUGACGCUGAGGAGCGAAAGCGUGGGGAGCGAACAGG